rnacentral:hammerhead_ribozyme from 1 species
GCACCGCUGAGGAGUCCCAAACAGGACGAAACAGCUGUUCAGUUC